GCACUCACAACAUCCUCCUCCUCUGCUUUGACUUCGGUGAAAAGCACCAAAUUUGGGGCAUCGAGGCUGUUACUCCUUAUCAUACCACACUCUACCCCGUUUACAGUGCAGCUGUCGUCCUUAGUGCUCUUUCUCGACAGACGCCCCUGAAGAGUGCACCAUGUGGGGCCUCUCCAUCACCAGAGUGUUCCAGGUGUACUGUGCAGGAGCUGCUCUCUUCGAGGUUCCCGGGAUUGUGAGGCUGCUAAGCGGUGAUAUGCCGCUGCCAAAGGCCGGUGCCUGGGUCGACGACAAAAACUACUACACAGACAACAAGCCGCUGGUGUACGUGUUUGUUGCCAUACUAGCGUGCCUCGUCGUGUCGCGCGGGAUGGCGUGUGCACUGCCGAAGUCACGCAUCAUCAUUGUAUACCUUGUCGUCGUCCACACAUUCGAGGCAGGGCUCUACCUCUACUGCUGCAGUCACAAGGAGGAUGCGCCAGACAGUGAAGUGUGCAUUAUGGGCAUGCUGAUGGUGGUGAACAUCUCUCUAUUUGCUGCUCGACUGGUGCAGCUGAAGGUGCAGCACACAAGAGUCGAGAUUGCCGAUCUCAAGAGGCGGCAGGAGCAACUCGCCAUCAUUCGCAAGAAGCGCGCAGACUACGCAAAGAACAGGGAAGAAAAAAAGAACAAGUGAAGUAUGUGGAUGCGUCGUUGCGGCCGCUCCUCGAUUUCGCUGUGGUUCGUCCCUGGUGGCCUCUUGCCCUCUGUUCGCCAGCGUCGUGUCUGCUCGUGCUCCGUGCGUGUUGCUGGCCCCCUCUUGGUCUUCGUGCUAAGGUGGCCUUGCUCCCUCGCUCUCUCUGUUUUUGGAACUCUAUGCGCUUUUUAUCUGCUUUGAGGGAGGGAGGGCGUUCGGCGGCGAGCUCGAGGGAGAGAGAGAGCGGGCGUAAGUGAAGGGGUUGUCUUGGGUCGCAUCGCAUCUUGUCCGCUGUCGCGGCGGCAAGCCGGUUCGGCUAUGUUUUGUCUACAGCGCGAACUACAUGCACACAUACACACAGGCGAGCACUCACCGACUGCAGUGCUACGUUGUGGUAGUGGUGGAGUCGGUGUUCAUAGCUCGCGUACUUGCCUUUUUGAGAGGCGAGCGCAAUCUCUUGACGGGGAAGACGAGCUUCCUUGGCAUGGGGAGAUAGCGGUGAGUGGUGGCGGGCACAAUCCCUCACUUCCGAUCCAGGUGAGUGGGUGUGUCUUUCUCUUCGUCUGGGCACAUGUCAUUCUUCUACCUCUUUUCUGGGUCUCUCUUCUUUUUUUUGCUGGUUGACAUCUCCGCUCUCCUCAUCCCCACCCUCUCUCCUUCGGCAUGGGCACAG
rnacentral:misc_RNA from 1 species